rnacentral:rRNA from 1 species
GAUGAACGCUGGCGGCGUGCCUAAUACAUGCCAGUCGAGCGAACGGACGAGAAGCUUGCUUCUCUGAUGUUAGCGGCGGACGGGUGAGUAACACGUGGAUAACCUACCUAUAAGACUGGGAUAACUUCGGGAAACCGGAGCUAAUACCGGAUGAUAUUUUGAACCGCAUGGUUCAAAAGUGAAAGACGGUCUUGCUGUCACUUAUAGAUGGAUCCGCGCUGCAUUAGCUAGUUGGUAAGGUAAUGGCUUACCAAGGCAACGAUGCAUAGCCGACCUGAGAGGGUGAUCGGCCACACUGGAACUGAGGCACGGUCCAGACUCCUACGGGAGGCAGCAGUAGGGAAUCUUCCGCAAUGGGCGAAAGCCUGACGGAGCAACGCCGCGUGAGUGAUGAAGGUCUUCGGAUCGUAAAACUCUGUUAUUAGGGAAGAACAUAUGUGUAAGUAACUGUGCACAUCUUGACGGUACCUAAUCAGAAAGCCACGGCUAACUACGUG